rnacentral:rRNA from 1 species
UACGUAGGGACCAAGCGUUGUUCGGAUUUACUGGGCGUAAAGGGCGCGUAGGCGGCAAUUCAAGUCAGCUGUGAAAUCUCCGGGCUUAACUCGGAACGGUCAGCUGAUACUGCUUUGCUAGAGUGCAGAAGGGGCAAUCGGAAUUCUUGGUGUAGCGGUGAAAUGCGUAGAUAUCAAGAGGAACACCUGAGGUGAAGACGGGUUGCUGGGCUGACACUGACGCUGAGGCGCGAAAGCAUGGGGAGCGAACAGG